UAUAAAUAUUUAUUUUUCUUCUAUUGCAGCGAUCAUUCACUUGGGACAUGAUUGAUGAGAUGGAAAUAAAGAGGAUUUUCAUGAAAAAAUGUGGCGAUCACAUUUGUCAUGUACUCAAUCAUGCAAAGUCGAGGGGGAAAAAACCACCAUUCAUCACCGAGGAAAAUUGGAUAAGGAUUUCAAAUUUUUGGGAAAGUGAGGAGUUUAAAAAAAGAAGUCACCAGAAUAAAAUAAAUCAAUCUUUUAAUUCUGGAGAAUUGUCUGCGACAUAUGCAGGAGGCUCUAUCAAUGUGGAUGAGCAUAGACAUAGAUUGACCAAAGAAUUGGGAAAGGAGCCUACUUUUAUAGAUACUUUCACCCGCACAUUUUAGAAAAAAGAUAAGACUUGGAGCGGGGACAGAGCUAAAGCAAUUAAGGAAAAAUAUGUUGAGUUAGAGGUAGCACAGAGAUGUUCAGCUUCUGCUAGUUCUGAUAUUGAGGGGUCUGAGCCGUCUGUUGGUAGUGAUUUCAAUUUAU